GGGGAUGACGUCAAGUCCGCAUGGCCCUUAUGGGCUGGGCCACACACGUGCUACAAUGGCAAUGACAAUGGGAAGCAAGGCUGUAAGGCGGAGCGAAUCCGGAAAGAUUGCCUCAGUUCGGAUUGUUCUCUGCAACUCGGGAACAUGAAGUUGAAAUCGCUAGUAAUCGCGGAGCAGCAUGCCGCGGUGAAUAUGUACCCGGGCCCUGUACACACCGCCCGUCACACCCUGGGAAUUGGUUUCGCCCGAAGCAUCGGACCAAUGAUCACCCAUGACUUCUGUGUACCACUAGUGCCACAAAGGCCUUUGGUGGUCUUAUUGGCGCAU
rnacentral:ncRNA from 1 species